AAAUUGAAGAGUUUGAUCAUGGCUCAGAUUGAACGCUGGCGGCAGGCCUAACACAUGCAAGUCGAACGGUAGCACAGAGAGCUUGCUCUCGGGUGACGAGUGGCGGACGGGUGAGUAAUGUCUGGGAAACUGCCUGAUGGAGGGGGAUAACUACUGGAAACGGUGGCUAAUACCGCAUAACGUCGCAAGACCAAAGAGGGGGACCUUCGGGCCUCUUGCCAUCAGAUGUGCCCAGAUGGGAUUAGCUUGUUGGUGAGGUAACGGCUCACCAAGGCGACGAUCCCUAGCUGGUCUGAGAGGAUGACCAGCCACACUGGAACUGAGACACGGUCCAGACUCCUACGGGAGGCAGCAGUGGGGAAUAUUGCACAAUGGGCGCAAGCCUGAUGCAGCCAUGCCGCGUGUAUGAAGAAGGCCUUCGGGUUGUAAAGUACUUUCAGCGGGGAGGAAGGUGUUGUGGUUAAUAACCACAGCAAUUGACGUUACCCGCAGAAGAAGCACCGGCUAACUCCGUGCCAGCAGCCGCGGUAAUACGGAGGGUGCAAGCGUUAAUCGGAAUUACUGGGCGUAAAGCGCACGCAGGCGGUCUGUCAAGUCGGAUGUGAAAUCCCCGGGCUCAACCUGGGAACUGCAUUCGAAACUGGCAGGCUUGAGUCUUGUAGAGGGGGGUAGAAUUCCAGGUGUAGCGGUGAAAUGCGUAGAGAUCUGGAGGAAUACCGGUGGCGAAGGCGGCCCCCUGGACAAAGACUGACGCUCAGGUGCGAAAGCGUGGGGAGCAAACAGGAUUAGAUACCCUGGUAGUCCACGCCGUAAACGAUGUCUACUUGGAGGUUGUGCCCUUGAGGCGUGGCUUCCGGAGCUAACGCGUUAAGUAGACCGCCUGGGGAGUACGGCCGCAAGGUUAAAACUCAAAUGAAUUGACGGGGGCCCGCACAAGCGGUGGAGCAUGUGGUUUAAUUCGAUGCAACGCGAAGAACCUUACCUGGUCUUGACAUCCACGGAAGUUUUCAGAGAUGAGAAUGUGCCUUCGGGAACCGUGAGACAGGUGCUGCAUGGCUGUCGUCAGCUCGUGUUGUGAAAUGUUGGGUUAAGUCCCGCAACGAGCGCAACCCUUAUCCUUUGUUGCCAGCGGUUAGGCCGGGAACUCAAAGGAGACUGCCAGUGAUAAACUGGAGGAAGGUGGGGAUGACGUCAAGUCAUCAUGGCCCUUACGACCAGGGCUACACACGUGCUACAAUGGCGCAUACAAAGAGAAGCGACCUCGCGAGAGCAAGCGGACCUCAUAAAGUGCGUCGUAGUCCGGAUUGGAGUCUGCAACUCGACUCCAUGAAGUCGGAAUCGCUAGUAAUCGUGGAUCAGAAUGCCACGGUGAAUACGUUCCCGGGCCUUGUACACACCGCCCGUCACACCAUGGGAGUGGGUUGCAAAAGAAGUAGGUAGCUUAACCUUCGGGAGGGCGCUUACCACUUUGUGAUUCAUGACUGGGGUGAAGUCGUAACAAGGUAACCGUAGGGGAACCUGCGGUUGGAUCACCUCCUUACCUUAAAGAAGC
rnacentral:rRNA from 1 species